CCUAGAGUUGUAGGCUUUGCCUGCUAUCUCUUACCCAUGUCUUUUGAGUACCUUCGUUUCCCUCGGCGGGUCCGCCCGCCGAUUGGACAAUUUAAACCAUUUGCAGUUUGCAAUCAGCGUCUGAAAAAAACUUAAUAGUUA
rnacentral:misc_RNA from 1 species